rnacentral:misc_RNA from 1 species
CCAAGGAUUUAGGCAUAAGUGUACUAGUCUCUUUAACUUUGAGGUGUGCUUGACUUAGAAAAUUGGAGUUUUCUUCCGUCGAGUUAACUGUGCUUCAACGAAUUAAACAGCAAGAAAGUUUCCCUCCAUUUCUAUGUCUUGGAAAAAGAUGAAUUUUGCACUGCCAGUGGUGGAAAAUUAAUCAAUAGUAGAUGAUAAAAAUAUCACAUUGGUCCCAUCAAUUUAGAAGCAAAUUUUCAAUCUUCUUAUGCAAAAUGUAACAUAGCUGAGUAAUGACGUGGUUGCUAAAGGAUAGUUAUCAACUAGUAAAUCACAGCAUAAUAUUACAUGGAUCCAUGCUUUGCUCUACACAGGACCAUCGUUUUAACCUCUGCUAAAAAAUCUCGAGAAAUCAUAACUUUUGAAUUGUUAUAGCUGCUGGUUCUUUAAAAAUGCUUUUCUUCCUCUAUAAUUUGAGUUUGGUCACAUCAAUUUUUUGGACAGGGUAUGUGUAUGCUUCAUAGUUGAUCUGUUGGCCCAAGCAACUUAAUUUGGUGAGAGUGGUUAUCAGAUCAACCUCAUAAUCUGUUUGAGACACUGUUUCUCGGCUGCGUUGGUACUUCUGAACCCAUGGUAAAACUUCCGUAUCAGUAGCAAGUAGGGCCUCAGUAGCUGCUUGAUCAGGACCUAAGAAUGCAGACAUAACGGCUAGCUGGCGAGGACCAUAGCCAAUAGCUUUGAACUUGUCUUUCAUUUCCUGUACAGUUGCUUUCUCCCACUGGGGAAUCCUUCCCUCUGGAUCUGGCUCUUGGGUAUCCGUCCGUCCAAAUUGUUUAUCAAACAAGCCCCACUGUUUCAACAAGAUUUUCAUGCAUAACAUCUUUUUGCUAUAUCAUAUCUACAUUUUGAGAAAUUCUAUGUUCUUAUAUGAAGUACACCAAUAAACACACUCGCAGAGUUAAAAAAAAAAAAAGACAAAUAGAGAGAGAAACACAAACACAAUAAUUGUGCCUAAAUCCAUAGACAAUUUGUCUGGCUUUUCACUAUUGAAUAAGAGAAUAUUAAAACCUUAUUUAUAUAGAUUCUCUAGGGUUAAUCAUUGUACGAAUUUUUAUAUAGACCAUGAUCAUGAAGCUUCUCCCUUUCACUAGAGGCCAUUGGUGAACUAUAAAUUCUUCUCCAACAAAUAUGAGCUAUAACUCAACGUUUAAAAAAAAAAAAAAUUGAGGCCACUGUUUCAGGUAAAGUUUAAUAAGCAGCUAAAUGAAAGGGAUAAUUGCUCAAAUAUAUCAUAAAUCCAGGUGCUGAUCAAUUAAGUGCAUUACAAGGCAACCAAACUAGAAAGACUAACCUGCCCGUUAGAACCAUAUGCAGCGUAUAAUAAGUUCCCUUUCUCUUCAUUACCACCACACUUGCGAAUGGCAGAAGCUAGAAACGUAUACUUAAUCGCACUUUGUGCUACACAGAAUGAAGAACAUUGAGUGAGGGCCCUUCCCUGUUGAUAAAUCAUAUUCUAUUUGUCCGCAUACUUUAGCUCAUUCAAGAAAUGGCCAUUAUAUGCAGUAUAGUUCAAACUAGGUAGUAACCUGCAUAUUGUAUAAGAUCUGCGUACGAGAUCGGUCCACCCUUGGAAUAUGAAUCUAUCUCUUUCUUUGCUUCCUCUAAUAAAUCAAGAACCGUGGAGAGUGCCUUGUUUUCAGGUCUGCUUAUCUCUGAGCUGAAACGUACGGAACCAUUUGGGCCUCCAGAUUUUGUAGCCUUAUCAUAAGUCAUGGCAUCAUUCAGUGCCAGAGUUAGAAUUGAUGGAACAACUUCGGGUUUUCCCUUUAUAGCUGUGUAAAGGGUCUCCUUAACACUUGACUGAAACUCAGAACGUUGUCUGCGUUGGAUCAAAUCAGCAGCGCUAGCCAUUUCAACAAAUGAUCCUGAGAUUGCUAUUAAUUCCAUGCUAAUGGCAGCUCCAAAGCAUUUCAAAACGUCUCUUCGCCGGAAAACAUUAUCGCCACCAGUGACAUCAGUUUCAAUUUUAUUGCAGCGUAUAGGAACAGCACGAGGAGAAGGGUAUAUGUGAGUGCCAGUAUUGGAGUUGCUUAGAGGAGAGAGAUGAACCAGAGAAGGGAGAGUUGAGAGGAAGGAAACCCCCAUAGUUGCCUCAGCUCCGCCCUCCGUUCUUCACAACUUGAAAAAGAAAACAGAAACAACGAGAAGAGGGAAGAGGAUAUAACAGGGGCUUACGUGGCAAUACGAGUGGAGAUUGUGCAUGUUUGUUUCAUGAGAAGCGAGAUAUCCUAUCGUCUUAUAGAAGCGAUCUCGAAUUACGAU